CGAGCGCCGCCUCGGUGAGGCGCGGGGCUGAGGCAAGCGGGGCGAUGGACGCUUCUCUCUCGGUCCGGCGGCUCUCACUGGGAGACCUAAGUUGCAUGUCACGUCGACGCUCCUAAAAUACCGAGGUAAAAGACAAAAAACUUCUUCAUAUGGUUGAUUUUUCUCACACGAUACCAUAACUCUUCUGAGGUGGGACAGUGUGAGUGCUGAGGGUGCUGAUAUUACAAAGAGAGGCCCAUUCGCCCAGUGCUGGGCUCUGGCUUACGCAGAGCACGCUGUACCUGAGCAGGUCUGUGUGAUGUGCGGAAGAGCCGUCCUUGUGCACAACGCCUUGUCCUUCUGUAGCCAAUGGAGGGAUGGGAGUACAGGUCAGACAGUCCUGCCGCCCCUCGCCUUGAGUCUCAUACCGUGUGGGUCAGGAACCCCCUGCGUGCUGAUCCCGCAGAGCACUGAGCACAGGUGGCUCUGGGAAAGCUGAGGGAGUGUCUUCAUUCUGGAAGCCCUCCUGGUGUGAUCUCAACUGGAGCAUGGUUCUCACCCUCAGUGCAUAGAAACCAAGCUACUGCUGCCCAGACCGGAUGUGGCUCUCAACCUGCCACCCCAGGACCUGGCACUGGGAUAGGGGUCGGUGAAGGAUUCUUGAAUCAGUGAGGCUGUUCCAGCUGUAUCUACUCGGUAGUUCUGCUUUUCUUUCACUAUUUGCAUUAGUGUUCCAUUCAGAGCAAUCUGAACAAAUAGUUAAAAGCAUCAGAAAGAACUAAGGCAAAAUAACAAUAAUAAUAAUAAAAAAAUACUGGAAAUCAAGCUUAAGACAAACAAAUCCAAGUUAUUUGUGCUUCUGGCCUAAAUGUUGCUUUCUUAUAAAUGUUGCUAUCUUACCUUAUACAAACAUUUCCUGAUGAAUCACCUUCUCUAGCUAGCAAGAAUUGUCUCUGAUCUCGGAGUAUCUCCUUUCCCUGCCUCACCUAAAUCUGGCCUCAUAAUGACUAUGUCUGAUGUCCUAAGAUGAUUCCUUCUUAGGUAGGCAAAUGCCUGCUGUUAGACAAGAUAAUGAAAGAGCAAAAUGUUUGAUUAUUCUGCAAAGAUUACAAAUGACAUCUGUCAUGAUGUAACCUUGUUUAUGAAACUCUGGGGGAAGAAUGUAUAAUCUAAAGAUACAUAAGAUAAAUCCUCCAGCUCUGAAUCAAACAACUUCAUACUGAAGCUGAGAGCCUCCGUGCUUCCCUCCAUCCUUUUUCCUGCUCUGGAUGCUAGCCGUGAUACUGGAAGCACAGAUGACCUUUCACUGAAGCUCCAGAACACCUUUUGUGCCACCUUUGGAUCUGUACUCCACUCAGCACGCCAUCAAACUCUGCACGUGCUGCAGAGAGGAACUGCUCGCACAUCUUGCCUGCCUACAGAGGUAUCUGUCAACAUGAGUUGUGACUAGUUUUGGUAUUUGAAGGGAUAAAGUCAAAAAUUGUGGAAAAAUUAUAAAGAAAGUGAAGGCUACUAACCAAAGGGUGAUCUUUGAACAUCCAGUUUGAACUGGGGCUCAAGAGGUCCAUGUUCACUCUCUAGCUUGACCACAGACUUCUUUUUUGACUUAGAGGGAAACAUGGAAGUUGAGGCUUCUCCUGCAGAAAAGAACAGCAUUUUACACAGUUGCCCAUCUUUAGGGACUACAUUAUAGGACGAGAACUUAAGAUCAGUUAACAUGGGUUCACCAGGCAGGUGUGACAUCAUACAUUUUCUUUCUGUUACAGAAAUAGAAUUCCCUAGAGGGACAUUCAUACUCCACAGCUGCUUUAGGCUGUUACAAUAUCCUUUUCAACACAUGUUGGCAAGUGCAUGUUUCCUUAUGCCUCAAGUCUCAGUGCUGCUGAGUAUCUGAAAGAUCUCACUUGCAUAUGUAGCUAUGCUUUGUGAACUUUUAAAAGUAGAGAUUGGCUCUUCCUAUAUGUUUUGUACUGAACUUGGCCACUGAAACUCCAUUAUUGGAUAGGAUAUAUAGGAGCAGCUGUAAUAAAAAUAACAGCACAAAAAGCCCAGCAUAGAUACUUGAACAGUCACCAAUACUGGAAUAUGAUUAUUGCUUUCAGCCCUAGGAAUCCUCCACCACCAGGACUUUUCAGCCAGUAAGUACAUUGCAGAUAGGAAGCAGCAUGAAGCCCACAUGAAAAGAUCUACAUAAUUAAUGCUAGCUCAGGUCUUUUACAAAGAAUUUCCAAAAUACAGCUCAGAAGAGAACCAGCCCAGUUGACUUGCUACUAUAUGUGCUUUGAUGAGAAUAGUAGAAAAGUUAAUGAUAGAGAUGCAAAUUGUGUUUGGUAGAGUUUAUUCUACUAAGUAUAAUGUUACUAAAAGCUGCAUUAGUUCAGCUCACAGCAGAAAUAACAGUUGUCUUCAGCAUCCAAAAGUUGGGCCAAUCAACUGGAGAUGGGUGAAAAGAAGCAGCUUGUGUUCCUCCUCUUUAUGCUUCAUAAAUUGUUUAAUGUCCCUGUGCCUUUAAUUCAGCUGUAAAAUGAGCUAAUACUUACUGCUCUGUCUAGAACACAUUAGGAUUUGCAAAGGAAAAGAACACUUAUAGAUGAUAUUUAUAUGUUUUAUUUUUCUUAGAUUUGGCAUUACCAUUAUCAAUACUGAAUGCCUAGAAUAAUCUGUGCAGCAGACAAAACUACUUUUGUCAACUAAAAGUAGUCUGUCACCACUGAGUUGACUGUCAUGCAAAUGCAUGUGUCUAUCUAGAGGAAGCUAGAUCCCUCCCUUUGUGUUUGAAUUAUUUCACAGUGGGGUUUGAUUGAUUGCUGUUCCUGAUGAACACAAAGAUCUCUUCUGCUUCCUGAAAAGUAGCAAAAUCAGUACAGUCCAGGAGGGCCCUAGGAACUGUGAUUCAUUUCAUAUAGUCCAUCAGUAUGCAGUAUUAUCAACACCCAGGUGUUAAAUAAUUGAGUCUAAAAAAAUAAGGAAUUUGGCUUAAAAAAAAAAAAAACCAUGAUCUGUAAGGCCAUCUAUAGAAGCUUACUUUCCCACUUUAUGUUGAUGAACAUUGCAAGUGAAUUGUAAUUGCUUUGCAGGCAAGGUUUUCAUUUGGGUUUUCAUUUCUUAUUUUUACAUCUAGAGCUUAAUUGCUGUUAGAAGAAAGCUGCCAAUGUCACACUUUCACUUGACGUUCAGAACUGGCACUUUAAGUGGCUGCUGCUGGCAUUUAUUGAAAAUACUUACUACCCUCUGGUGUGCACUGUGUUUGAGAGAAAAAUGGGUUAGGAAAAUAAAUCACAUUUAGCAAAGAAUCAGCAGGGUAAUUUUAUGAUAGCAUGACUACCACACUGUGAAAUUACUGCUAAAUAAUUUUAUCAUCUAUCUAAUAUCUAAGAAUUUUACGAUGUAACAAUUAUGUUUUGAAAGCAGAUGCUAUUGUAACUGCCUAUGUAGCUGUAGGGUCCUGCUGUAGCAUGUACUACUAUUGCUGCAUUUUAAAAUUCCUUGUGACGCAAUGCUUCUUAUUGCCACAGGUUGUAGUGCAUUAAUUGGUGAAAAGAAUGGAAGAAAAUUAGCAAGAUUUCUAACAAUUGGUUCAAAUUCCAGCACAGCAUCUUUGUGCAAGAGCAAACAGAGCAGUAGAGCCUACCCUUAGUUGUUCCUAAGAAAUAACCAUUCUUUGAUCUCACAGCCACGGGCAUAACAGUUUAACUUCUACUUCUGACUACUACUGCUGGGAAUAUCUUGGGGAAGUGCUGCCCAUAAGGUAUGGGUUGGGGUAUGAGACAAAGUUGAAGAAAAUUCCAGCCCAGGAAUGAGCAGGUGUCAGUGCUGAUGUUCCUAAAGCAAAUACGGUUACUCUCUAUUUACACUGUUAGUUUUCUCCAAGCCUGGACUGUCUUUUUAUGCAGUGGUUAGCAUUGGUCCACAGUAGUGGUUUCUACAGUCUCUAGAAUAUUUGCAAAAAUAACACAAGAUGAAACUAUGAAUAUCCAAAUGGUUGUGCUGGGCUACUAGUUCCUACUGCCUUUAUGUGAAGCAUAGGAAGUAACUGAUGUUGCAUGAUGUGACACUGUUGUAUGGAGUGUCGAUCAAGUAGCACUGAUGAUGCACAAGAAAGUGCACAGUAAAUAUAAUAUUGCAGCAAGUUCUAAAUGUGGAUCCAGUCUUUCCAUCUUUGUUAUUUAGUUGAUUGGACAGGUAACUGCUCACAUGAUCCAGACUGAUCUCUGGUCACAUAAAGACUUCUGCAGGUUUGGAACUCUAUUGGCUUCCAGGGAGUUGCUAAUUCACAAAUUUUAUUCAAAUCAGAACAAGCAUCCUUAGGAUUCACGGAUAGGCUCCCAACAGACCAGAUACCUUACCAAUUUGUGGCAGGUUCUGGCUGGCUUGUUUCAAUAAACCAGGCUACAAAAUCCCCAGUCUGUCCCCUGGGAGGAAGCUGCAGUGAUGAAAAACAGACACAUCCUCCUGUGCACUGAAGGACCUACAGAGGACAAAGCAUAAUGUGUGAAGCACAGGCUGCUCAAUGGGCAGAUGAGAAGUAAUGCUGCUAUCAAAAAACGCAACUUAGUGUCUUAUCAUUGGAAUCUUAAGGCAAAGAAGUGCUAUGCACCAAUUUGUUCUUGGUGGCGCUGUCCCCUUUUAAACUGCGUUGAUCUUUGUUAUCAGUGAAGACCGUAUACCCUUGACUGGACAGCCAAGAGUGUAUUUGUUCCAAGUACUUUACUCCCCUGGUGUAAUAGCUGGCACUGAUAGAUAUUUCCUUAAUUUUGGAAGGCAAAGGUGAGCACAGCGCAGCCUAAUUCCUGUGACGCAAUGUGUACUCAUUGGCAGUGACUAAUUAUAGCACAGAAAAACUACAGGCUUCCCCUGCUGAGGACAGAGUACAUGCUCUCCACAGCACGACCGCACUCUGCUCUGACUUCUUCCUGUGUCGUGGUGCCCAGUGACAUCCCAGUAAAACAGCAGUUUAUCAUUCCUCCUCAGCCUGCUGUGUACCUACAGCUGGAGAUUCCUGAGUCUGCCUCCCUUCUUCAUGGCUAGCUCACAGCAGGUCAGCUGUGACUCAGUGCACUUCCAGACCUAGGUAGUUGGCUAUUGCCUUGAAGAUUUUAAAUUACUUUCUCACUUACCCUUUAUCAUACUGUUGGAAUUCUGUAUGAGUCCUGCACUUGACUCCAGUACAAGGAGCUAUGAAGUUGGUAAAAAGUACAUGCAUUUUUUAAAAAUCAGUUUAUGUUUUCUAAUCAGCAGUGAGGGCAGCUGUCACAAAAAGCAGGUGACAACCAUACCAUCUCAAAGCUUACAAGGUUUAGUUACUUCACAGGAAAUGCAGGCUUAAUUAAUAUAAAAGGUAGAAAUUAAAUGAAAAAUGAAAAAGAAAUGCACAGCAGUUAAGAAGCAUUCAUCUUGAUCAGCAUGCCAGGAGAGCGCUCUUGGAAAAUAGGAAAAGAUCUAGUCCACUUUCUUUCUAGGGCAGAAAGUCUUUUAUUGAAAAUUAUUCUUGUCACAAGUGUCUACAGUAAGUUUAUUAAGAUGUUUGAGAACAUUUUAAACUACUUUCCCAGGAGGAACUUAAUUAUUUUUCUUUUUUUUUUUUUUUACACUUUUAUGCCAGUUUGAUGCCUGAGCAAAAUGUGAUUUUGACAGCUUAGGGGACAGAAAUGUUCUAAUUAUUUGGGAAACAGGUACAGUAUAAGUGGGUGCUACGCAUCAUCCCUCAGAUUGCCUGUCUGAUAUGAUUUGUUACUGUCAAAUAUCCUAAACGAUGUAAGGAGGAUCAUUUAGUCUCCAAAAACCUCUCUGCCUAAUUAGAGCAGUGUUUGUUUUUCUAACAUGGGAACUGAGCAGGGAUCAUAAAAUCACGUAACAGACCUCCAAAUAUUCAGAAGGGACCAACAAAGGAUCUCCCAUUUAAAUUGAUAUGACUGGGCAAAUGAGCAUCUCUAGAUUCUGCUACCAAAUAUUUAAACCAGUAUUUUUCACAGGGUUUUUUUUUAAUCAGAUGAAGUACCAUUAUUGAAUGUGGAAAAAAAGGGAAGAAAUUGCAACCCUCAUUGUCUUCAUAGAAAGGAACUGACAUUUAUUGGCUGUAAAAGUGACAAAUUAUGUUGUAUUUCCUGAGAGGUUGAAAAGCAUGCUUGACCUUGAAAAAUAAGUUCUCAGGAGUGGAGAAGCCAGGUUGCCUUUGCUUUAUAUUGUGCAAAAUUUUCACUGAGGUGCCAUCAUCUGACCGUGUUUCAUGACUACUCUGUGUGUCACAACCCACUCACUCAGAAAUACUGCGUGAUCCAUCCCUGUAACCAUCAUGAUGAAUGGUGUAACAGCUGGCUAAUUUCAGUACUGGUGAUUUACAGUCACCAGCAAUAUUUCCCAAAUGACAGUAAGACAGCAAACUAGAAUAAUAUUCCUUCCUUCCCAGAGCCAUAGUUGUCUGUAAUUACCUGGAUAUUUGAGGUUUAAGCAAGCUCUUGGACAUUUUAAUUGGGACAUACCAGAAACUGAGAAGAUCAGCCAAAUCUUUAAAAAUGAGAUUGCUCAAGAGGACAAAAAAAAAAAGAAAUAAAAUAAGUCACAGCAACACAAUACUUGGCUAGUUAAAUCCAUUGUUUGAAUACACAGCACAUGCUCCUGUCAGUUCAAAGACAGAAGUACUGAAGUACUUUCGUGGAGUUUCUUGUUUACUUAAAUCAUUAUUAUACAUUUUGCCAAUAGGGCAUCAAACAAUUAAAGCUCUGCAGUGUACAAGGUUAUGUAAUUUUGCCAGGGAAACAUAGCCAUAUUUUAUAUAAAACAAAGAAAAAAGUCUCUAACUGAAAAUAUAAAGUCAAUCUGCUAUCUCAUCUGAAGCGUAACAUCUGUUUAGCUAGAAAUAUGCAAACUAUUGACCAGAACUUUAAGAGGCAAACUAUUGCCUCUAAUGAAGAGGAGAUGGUUACUGAAGUUCUGGGGAGUGGGCUCAGACAGAAUCCUUGCCCCUGGACUUCUGGACCUGCUGGUGCUCUCUGGGGAAGCAUCUCGAUUUGGCUAAGAAGAGGGGCUUUUUAUGCUUCAGUGUAAAGCGCACAACCAAUGUCCUAAUUAGCACAGGCUAAAUAAUUUCCUAUACCUAAUCAAACAAUGAAAUUUGAACUUAGAAUACAGCAAGCCGGCAUUAAAGCCGGCACUUCAAAUCGGCCAACCCAGCACGUUCUGAAGUCUGACCAGCCUUACCUAUACUAAGGAGUCAUUAAAUAUGUUACCUAGCCUGUUUGAAUAAUAAACUUUAAUCCUGUACAUCUUGCCUGAAUUUUACCUCAUAUUAGGUAAAUUGUUCAGACCAUUUGUCAAACACAAACACUCCUUAAAGACUGUGGUUCGCUGUGUAUGUUUGCAUCCUAGAAGAAGCAUUAGAGGAGCAACUGAGUUAAGGUGGUUUGAAUCUGACUAGCAAUCACUUACCUCAAAGUGAUAAAAAAAUAGCCAUAUCUUGGAAGGGCUACAGACAGUCCUUUGAUAUCUCCUUUAGUAAACACAAUAGGCCAAAUUAAGUACUGCUGCAAAAGUGUGGUCAGUUUUGGUAAAAGCGUUAACUCCUGCAGCCUCAGCAUUCAAUCUGAAGGCAGCUUAAAGGGUCAAAAAAACAGGUGUAAUGAGGAGAAAUAAUCCACUCCAAAGGCAUAAAGUAGGUCAUCAUUAAGCAUCUUUUUGAACUGAUGUAACUCAUCCUUCUGAAACUGAUAAAACUCUGAUGUGCUCCAGAGAGGUGCUUCACCUGCUUAAUUAAGCUUGCUUUAGCAACUGCGCCUAACCUCUUAGCCCUUCACACCCCUGCUUUAAGAUGCUAUUUUGCCAUACGUACACGUGUGCUUGUUCAUGAACGUAAAGAAUUCAUACAAAUGAAGAAGGGUAAUGUAGUUAGUAAAAGCAUGGCAAGAGUACUUAUCUAUUUUCCAAAAGUAGCACUGUAGUUACACCAUGCAUAUACUCAUCUGUUUCACUCAUGAAGUUUCAUGCUUAAUAUCCAUAGGGCUGAAUUGGCACAGAAAAUAAACAUUCUUGUUGACACAAACUGCUGCUGACUUGAAAGGAGCAUCUGUGUACCUUUGGAUCAAAUGGUAGUUUUGCUGGGAAAAAAAAAAUAUGAAUACUCUCUAUGAAUAGUGAUAAAUAUCCUGUAGCAAUUUUCAGAUAUACCGUUGUUUAGGUCUCUGCAAGUAAUAGAGUGAAGUUUAUGUUGUCAAAACUUACUUCUUGUAAAAUAGCCCUCAUCUUUUCCCAAGGAUUUCAAGGAACAGGAAAAUCUUCAACUGAAAAAGACUAUAUUGUCACAACAAGACUAAAAAAGUAUUAAGCAAUGAAGUGUUAAGCAAAAUCCUGAAGGCCAAAAGAUGCAAGCCGUGAAACUUUAGCACACCAUUAUUCAACAAAGCACUCAAAUUUUUCCCUGGGACUUGUGUGUGGACUUAACUGUUAGAACUUACAACUCCUUGCAUGUAGCAGCAAAAGCUUAAAAUAAUGUUUUGCCCCACCACCUAGCAGUGAGACAGAAAGCACUACUAUACAACGGAAUGGUGGGAUAGUUUAGAAAUAGUUUCAGUGAGGAUGUCAGAGAAGUUGUUGAGAAAGAAUAGAUGAUGAAGAGUUGCCAAGCUGGAAUACAAAAUAGCCUUUUAUAUUGCUUAGAAAAGUAACUGCUGCCUAACACACUGACCUUGGCCUGGAUUGCAGAUGUGGAAGGGUUUUGCUAUGUCUUCUUCCCAAUAUAAAGAGAAGCGAUGGGCGCACAGGUAGCCAGGGAGCUGAGCAUGCACACAAAGGCAGCAGUGACAACCUUGCCAUCUUUUGUGAAGAGGAGAAGCCCCCAGCUAUAUAGGAAGGGCUGCUGGUCUUUGGUACUUAAUACACAGGUUAGAUGGAACCCAGUGAUAUCUCAAAAUUACUUUUCUUCCACUCUCUGGCAUUUGAGUUGGCAAGCUCAGCCUUUUUUACUUGUUGCAUUAAAAAUAAGCAAUCAAACUAUCUUAUCAACUUUUCUCUGUGGUCUUACUCCUCAUGGUCUCCACUGAAUCAGACAGGACCUCAAUAAGGUGAGUUUUGCUCAGACUAAAAAGAGAUUUGUCUGCAAGCGUAGUUUAUGGUAAUUAGGGGAAAAACAAGUUGGACAGGAUGCUAAAGAGAAAAUUGAGGCCUGGUAAUAUGUGCAGACAGGGAGAGCUGUUGUUUUUCAUCUUCUCAGUGUUUUGUUUUUCAGCAGCAGAAGCUGUUGCCUUUUGCUUCCUCCAAACAGGAACUAAUAAUGAUCUACCGUAUGGACUAAUAAGAAGGGUGUCUUGCUUUUGUCGAAGCUUUUUUUUUUCUGAAAAAGAAGACCCUUUUCCUGUUGUGUAUAAUGAAGGAUUGUAAGUGGAAUGCUGCUUGAUGGGGUGCUUGGUUGCUCCUCCUGUUUCUAAGACAGGUAGAAAAGUAUGCUGAAAUUUUAAAAAUGACUGGUCAUUUUACAAUCAAAGUGAAAAAUCUGACACUGAUGUGCAAGCAAGAUACACUAAGCUAUAAACUAGGUCUGGAAUGCUUUUCCCUUGAGUCCUCUCUAAACUGAGAGAAGUGGUAUAUCAAGGCAAUCUCCAUUCACGCUUGCACUGCUGGACCAUCACAAAGCAGCUGAAGAAAACUGGCAAAACUCCCUUCAGAGGUUGCUGACCACAUGGCUGUAAAGAACCUUGCAAUGCUAUAUUUAAAAAAGAAAUCAAAUUCAAAUCAGCUUGCUUGUUGUGGGUAUUUUCUGCAAACUGUUUAUUACCAUGCCAAUAUCUCUUUGUUUCCAAUUUUUUGCAUAAUAAACUUCUGAAAAUUUAACUCAGCUUCACUGGUGUAUAAGAACUAGACAUGGCAGACAUGGCUCUAUUCAACCACUUGUGAGAAUUAGCUUCCAAAAUCAAAUUAAAAUGAAGCAAACCCAAAUAGACCAGGUAGUCCCACACUAAGUUGCCACACCCGUUCAUAUUCAGCAUCCAUCAUCUGUGCCUCUUGCAUUUUACAUUACUAAUAUGAGGUAUCUCUGCAAGUAGCAUUACAGUGCACUUACUACAUAUGGUAAAGGUGAGAAACUCGUUAAAUAUACGGCACAUAAAUAUAUUAAGAUUGCAAAGCCUAACUUACAUAAGUGUUCAUACUUCAGUAAAAAUUCUACUUUUUUAUUCAUUUCCAAAGCUGAGGGGAAACUACAUGAUUUUUAUCUUAGAGUCUGAGAAAAAGGAGGUGAAGGUGAGAAGUACAACAUUCUCCAAAGAGGACUGUGUGCUGUGACUUGUAGAAAUGGCCAUAAGA